GCCAGGCAUGGUGGCGCAUGCCUGUACCUCGGAGGCUGAGGUGGGAGGAUCGUUUGAGCCCAUGAGUUCUGGGCUGUAGUGUGCUAUGCUGAUCAGGUGUCUGCACUAAGUUCAGUAUCAACAUGGUGACCUCCCAGGAGCAGGGGACCACCAGAUUGCCUAAGGAGGGGUGAACAGGCCCAGGUCAAAACUUCUGUGCUGACCAGUAGUGGGAUUGCGCCUGUGAAUAGCCGCUGCACUCCAGCCUGGGCAACAUAGUGAGACCCCAUCUCAA
rnacentral:SRP_RNA from 1 species